AUCCAGUUGACCAGUCUCAAAUACGACGAAAUGCGCAUCCUGGAU
rnacentral:hammerhead_ribozyme from 1 species